rnacentral:rRNA from 1 species
UACGUAGGGUGCUAGCGUUAUCCGGAUUUACUGGGCGUAAAGGGUGCGUAGGUGGUUUUUUAAGUCAGGAGUGAAAGGCUACGGCUCAACCGUAGUAAGCUCUUGAAACUGGAAAACUUGAGUGCAGGAGAGGAAAGUGGAAUUCCUAGUGUAGCGGUGAAAUGCGUAGAUAUUAGGAGGAACACCAGUAGCGAAGGCGGCUUUCUGGACUGUAACUGGCACUGAGGCACGAAAGCGUGGGGAGCAAACAGG